AACUGUUUCUCAAGCAGCAGUGAAAGUUUGUGUGGUUGUGCAUUUCCUUAGCAGGCGGUCAUUCCUCUGCCUUCUCUCCCCCGCCUCCCCCAAAAUGCUCACGCUCGUAAUUUCUAACCUUUGAAAGGUUUUGUGGCACUUGUAUCGCUUCUGCGAGCUUGUUGGGCGUUGGAGGGACUGGAAUAGGGAGGAGAAAGAAAGAAAGAAAGAAAGAAAGAAAGAAAGAAAGAAAGAAAGAAAGAAAGAAAGAAAGAAAGAAAGAAAGAAAGAAAGAAAGAAAGAAAGACGUCCCUUGCCACCUGGGCCGAAGGAAUAGCAAGGGGCAACCUUGAGACUGUGCAGCUGGCCCAAGGC